GUGUCAGCAGCCGCGGUAAUACGUAGGUUGCGAGCGUUGUCCGGAUUUACUGGGCGUAAAGCGCACGCAGGCGGUUCCGAAAGUCGAAUGUGAAAGCUCCCGGCCCAACUGGGAGAGGCCGUUCGAAACUUCGGGACUUGAAGGCGGGAGAGGCAGAUGGAAUUUCCGGUGUAGCGGUAAAAUGCGUAGAUACCGGAAGGAACACCAGUGGCGAAAGCGAUCUGCUGGCCCGCCCUUGACGCUCAGGUGCGAAAGCUAGGGGAGCGACCGGGAUUAGAUACCCCGUUAGUCCUAGCCGUAAACAAUGGGCACUAGGUGUUGUCGGUAUCGACCCCGGCAGUGCCGAAGCUAACGCAUUAAGUGCCCCGCCUGGGGAGUACGACCGCAAGGUUAAA
rnacentral:rRNA from 1 species